AGGACGAACGCUGGCGGCGUGCUUAACACAUGCAAGUCGAGCGAGGCCCCACCUUCGGGUGGGUGCCCUAGCGGCGAACGGGUGAGUAACACGUGGGCAACCUGCCCCUAGCACUGGGAUAACCCCGGGAAACCGGGGCUAAUACCGGAUACGACCACGGACGGCAUCGUGCGUGGUGGAAAGGGUUUCCGGCUAGGGAUGGGCCCGUGGCCUAUCAGCUUGUUGGUGGGGUAACGGCCCACCAAGGCGACGACGGGUAGCC
rnacentral:rRNA from 1 species